rnacentral:rRNA from 1 species
CAGCAGCCGCGGUAAUACCGGCGGCCCGAGUGGCGGUCACUCUUAUUGGGCUUAAAGCGUCCGUAGCCGGGUUGGGAAGUCCUCCGGGAAAUCUGGCCGCUUAACGGUCAGAAUGCCGGAGGAUACUCCCAGCCUAGGGAGCGGGAGAGGCCGAGGGUAUUCCCGGGGUAGGGGUGGAAUCCUAUAAUCCCGGGAGGACCACCUGUGGGGAAGGCGCGCGGCUGGAACGCGUCCGACGGUGAGGGACGAAGGCCAGGGGAGCAAACCGGAUUAGAUACCCGGGUAGUCCUGGCUGUAAACGAUGCGGACUUUGUGUCGGACAAGCUAUGAGCUUGUCCGGUGCCGGAGGGAAACCGUUAAGUCCGCCGCCUGGGGAGUACGGCCGCAAGGCUGAAACUUAAAGGAAUUGGCGGG